ensembl:lncRNA
GCCCUGAUCUAAACGGGAAAACACAACAAGGAAAAUAUCAGAAGCACAAGCCAGAGCUGUUGUCCUCCUUACUCAUCCACUCAUCCAUCAAGAUAAGUCAGCACAUACAGUAUCUCUUCGUUUCCAGCAUCGUCCCCAUUAUCCACUACUUCCUCCCAACCGCGCUUUCUAAACUGCUGAGGAUGGAAGAGAAAGCAGACUGGACUUGCAGUAUACAUUUCACACUCUCAUCCAACAAGCAACUUAGCCGCUGACACACUGCCAGCUGGUCCCAUCAAGUCAGGUGGCAUGCGUCACCCAACAAGCUGCCUGUUGGAAUAGCUGGCUGUUACAUAGCCUGUUAAGAACCAGGCGAACAAGACCACCAAAAUGUGGCAGCUGCUGUCCAGACAAGACACCUUCAGGCAGAGCUGGGUGCAGCCCGGUGACUCGUGCAGACAACAUCUGGGUUUUAGUUGGAAGACGGCCUCUGCGUUGGAUGAAGCUCUUCCCACAGACUGCAGAUGCCCUGUGGAUGGCUACCUUCCUCUCUGUGAUGGACUGCACCCUUGAGCCAGCCCAAAGAAACACUUCUUUCCCUGAGUCACAUUCACC